UACGGGGGGGGCAAGCGUUGUUCGGAAUUACUGGGCGUAAAGGGCUCGUAGGCGGCCAACUAAGUCGGACGUGAAAUCCCUCGGCUUAACCGGGGAACUGCGUCCGAUACUGGAUGGCUUGAGUUUGGGAGAGGGAUGCGGAAUUCCAGGUGUAGCGGUGAAAUGCGUAGAUAUCUGGAGGAACACCGGUGGCGAAGGCGGCAUCCUGGACCAACAUUGACGCUGAGGAGCGAAAGCCAGGGGAGCAAACGGG
rnacentral:rRNA from 1 species